CCUACGUGGGGCAGCAGUGAGGAAUAUUGGUCAAUGGGCGGAAGCCUGAACCAGCCAAGUAGCGUGCGGGAUGAAGGCCCUACGGGUCGUAAACCGCUUUUGCACGGGGAUAACACCCUCCACUUGUGGAGGUCUGCAGGUACCGUGCGAAUAAGGGCCGGCUAACUACGUGCCAGCAGCCGCGGUAAUACGUAGGGGGCAAGCGUUAUCCGGAUUUACUGGGGGGAACGGGAGCGUAGACGGUUAUGUAAGUCUGGAGUGAAAGCCCGGGGCCCAACCCCGGGACUGCUUUGGAAACGGUGUAACUGGAGUACAGGAUGGGCAGGCGGAAUUCCUGGUGUAGCGGUGAAAUGCGUAGAUAUCAGGAGGAACACCGGCGGCGAAGGCGGCCUGCUGGACUGCAACUGACGUUGAGGCUCGAAAGCGUGGGGAGCAAACAGGAUUAGAUACCCGGGUAGUC
rnacentral:rRNA from 1 species